AGCGAACGCUGGCGGCAGGCCUAACACAUGCAAGUCGAGCGCCCCGCAAGGGGAGCGGCAGACGGGAGAGUAACACGUGGGAACGUACCCUUCAGCUCGGAACAACCCAGGGAAACUUGGGCUAAUACCGGAUACGUCCGAAAGGAGAAAGAGUCAUAGCGGAAGGAUCGGCCCGGUUCUGAUUAGCUAGUUGGUGGGGUAACGGCCCACCAAGGCGACGACCAGUAGCUGGUCUGAGAGGAUGAUCAGCCUCACUGGGACUGAGACACGGCCAAGACACCUACGGGAGGCAGCAGUGGGGAAUAUUUGACAAGGGUGUCAAGACUGUCCCUGCCAUACCCCGUGGAUGAUGAAGUGCCUAGGGUUGUAAGGUCCUUUCGGCGGGGAAGAUAAUGACGGUACCCGCAGAAGAAGCCCCGGCUAACAUCGUGCCAUCAGCCGCCGCCG
rnacentral:rRNA from 1 species